rnacentral:rRNA from 1 species
UACGAAGGGGGCUAGCGUUGUUCGGAAUUACUGGGCGUAAAGCGCACGUAGGCGGAUAUUUAAGUCAGGGGUGAAAUCCCAGAGCUCAACUCUGGAACUGCCUUUGAUACUGGGUAUCUGGAGUAUGGAAGAGGUGAGUGGAAUUCCGAGUGUAGAGGUGAAAUUCGUAGAUAUUCGGAGGAACACCAGUGGCGAAGGCGGCUCACUGGCUCAUUUCUGACGCUCAGGCGCGACAGCGUGGGGAUCAAACAGG